GAUGAAGAACGCAGCGAAAUGCGAUAAGUAAUGCGAAUUGCAGAAUUCCAGUGAGUCAUCGAAUCUUUGAGCGCACAUUGCGCCCUUUGGUAUUCCGAAGGGCAUGCCUGUUCGAGCGUCAUUAUCACCCCUCAAGCCCUCGGCUUGGUGUUGGACGGUUUGGUGGAGGCCCCCUCGGGGGCUCCUGCCCCUCCCAAAGACAAUGACGGCGGCCUCGUUGGACCCCCGGUACACUGAGUUCUUCACGGGACACGUAUCGGACACAUGGGUUUACGGGACACGGUCUGCCUCCCCUCAGGGAGAAUCUUUCUAAGGUUGACCUCGGAUCAGGUAGGGAUACCCGCUGAACUUAAGCAUAUUAAUAAGCGGAGGA
rnacentral:misc_RNA from 1 species